GGCUUAUUGAUUAUAAUUUUAAGUCUGGCCUGCCCAAUGAGUAAUUAAAUGGCCGCGGUAUAUUGACCGUGCAAAGGUAGCAUAAUCAUUAGUUUUUUAAUUGAAAGCUUGUAUGAAAGGUUAAAUGAGAGAGUUUCUGUCUCUGUAAAAAUUUAUUAGAAUUUUAUUUUUAAGUGAAAAAGCUUAAAUUUUCGUGGAAGACAAGAAGACCCUGUAGAGUUUUAUAUUUACUUAAAGUUGGAAUUUUAGGAAUAGGAAGUUUUAUUUUUAGGUAGGAGUAUUUUGUUGGGGUGAUUGGAAAAUUGGAUAAACUUUUCUUACAUGGAAACAUUUAUUUAUGAAUUUAUGAUCCUAAAAUAUAGAUUAAAAGAUUAAAUUACCUCAGGGAUAACAGCGUAAUCUUUUAUAGAGUUCUUAUCGAAUAGAAGGAUUGCGACCUCGAUGUUGAAUUAAAAUUAAUUUUUGGUGUAGAAGCUAAUGAUAUUAGGUCUGUUCGACCUUUAAAAUUUUACAUGAUUUGAGUUUAAACCGGCGUGAG
rnacentral:rRNA from 1 species